rnacentral:rRNA from 1 species
AUACGUAGGGGGCAAGCGUUAUCCGGAUUUACUGGGUGUAAAGGGAGCGUAGACGGAAGGCCAAGUCUGAUGUGAAAGCCCGCGGCUCAACUGCGGGACUGCAUUGGAAACUGGUCAUCUGGAGUGCAGGAGGGGUAAGCGGAAUUCCUAGUGUAGCGGUGAAAUGCUUAGAGAUUAGACAGAACACCGAUUGCGAAGGCAUCUCACGAAGGGUUGAUUGACGCUGAGGCACGAAAGCGUGGGGAUCAAACAGGAUUAGAUACCCUGGUAGUCCACGCAGUAAACGAUGAUGGCUAACCGCUGGUUUUUUCGGAUCAGUGGCCAAGCGAAAGCGAUAAGCCAUCCACCUGGGGAGUACGACCGCAAGGUUGAAACUCAAAUGAAUUGACGGGG